CAGUUCUUAGCUAUAUCAAGCCUGGCAACAGCAAAUAGGAAACCAGUAACAGCGUACUCUUGUUUCUUUAUCAUCAUUUGUGAUACAUCAUAUGAAGAAUAUCAAAUUACCAACUUCUCUCCUUUCUUCUUCAGAUUUUGCAUCCUCUUGAAGGCACUUAACUACAACAGAUCAGCAAAUCUACAUAAAUUCAAUCUACAUAAUGAGGAAAUCAAAAUAGUUAAAAGAUUUCCCAUACCUUGGAUCAAAGAUUGAUCAGAAUGGAAACCACGGUCCAGAAAUAAGAAGACUAGGAAUGGG